GAGGCGAAAAAGGAGGAGGAAAAGGAGGAGGAGGAGGAGGAGGAGGAGGGUCAAGGUUAUUUUAAAACUGAGCUUCACUUGUUUAGAAAAACAAAACUGAAUUGUUAGUUUAUCGAAACAUGAAAAAUGUUUUCAUGAACUAUUUCACGAAGCGUCUACACAGUAAUUCUAAUGGAUGUCACUUCAUUUAUAACAUUAGAAGACAAUUUAGUUUUUUUCAGGAGACCAUUAUUUGGAGUUUGUAAAGUACAAUUCAGUUCAGAUGAAAAUGAAUCGUGUCGCAGGAAUUUAGAAAAGGAAACGUUUAAUCACAGACCUUUGAACUCUGGAAAGACUUCAGUUCAGAGGUUUCACUUUUGAAACUGAAUCACUGGGGACAAGUCCAAAUGUCCAGUAAACCUGGUCCGUGUCCACAUUCGUUGUCCUUAAAUGUUGAACAAUGCGUUCGACUCUUUUUUUUCAGCUGGAGUUUUUUUUUAUUAUCAAAUGAAUCACUGCAGCUGAAAAGUUCUGAAAAGUCGAGUUUGAACUUUUCUCUUUUUAAAUUUUUUUUUCUCUUUCACACAAGUUAAAGAAGCAAAGAUCAGAAUUUGCAUUGGAAACGAGAGCUCUGCUGCAUCCGUGGUAGAAAAGUCCAAACCUCCAGCUGUGAUUGAUCCAAAUAUGGUUCCACAGAUAAACACGGGCGACUCGUAUGUUCACAGUCGAGGCUGCGGAGAGAGGAGAGCUGGGGGUGAAGGGGGGGGGCUGAUGUUUCAGCCGUCAUGAACGUUUUUGUGGUGUGAUCACAGGCACUGAUGUCACACACACACACACACACACACACACACACUGUAUUUCAUACCUACACAUGUACUCUGUCACAGUGAAGUAGUUCAUGGUGUUUGGGCGACUGUGGUGGAAAAGGCUGGGAGUCAGAUUCAUAUUAUCUUUCACUGAGGCUGCUGUGGAUCAGUUUACAACAAACUCUGCAAACACACACACACACACACACAGCGUUUCUGCACCUGCAACUCACACAUCACUUGUGGACAUUUGGUGUCAUGGCAACAGUUUCUACAGUGACUGCAGAAAAGCGGGAUGAUGCUGACGAGACAGCGAGUGUUGAUGGACAGUUCAGAACGAAAGGUGAUGCACAAGUCCAACUGACCCAACGGUGACCUUUGACCCCCCCCCAGCUCCAAUGGCAUACUAACAUCCCAGCAGCAGUUCAUGACAUUCAGAUCUGCUGAAAGAAGUCGUUUUUCCAAAACCUUAGAAUGACAUUUGUUUUUGUUUUGUCUUCAAACCAGACUUACUGACGAUGACACAGACACUGGUCUUCAUAAUCGCUUCUUUGGAAGAUGAUGAAAUACUACUGAAAUACAAACCUCACCCUUGACAUGCUGGAAUAUUUAAAGGUACAAUUCCACAGCAGGAAGCAGUGCCAGGAGCAGGAGGAAACACAGGAAUGGUGUGUGAACUGUUAGGAAGGAAGAAACAAAAAAAGAAAAAAAAAAGAAUGAAAUGUUAAAUCUGGAGACAGGCUUUCUGUCAGAAACUACUUCCGUCACUUUCUCAAAGCAACAAUGUGAAAUUCACACUCUUGACACUGCGUGGAGGUGAGAGAGGAACUUCAACCUUUCUUCUUCUCACUCAUUCCUGUCACGUUGCUUCUUAAAAACAACUCAGAGACAAAAAUACUUCACCAUAAUGAGUGUUUUUAGGACACGCUCUCUUGUGUACGCUGUUGAACGACAGCCGUCGCCUUUUGCUUUCACUCUGCAGUCACUGUAGCGACUUCGUUUGUCAAGUUUGAAUUAUUAUAAAUUAUUAAAUCCAGUGAUGUGUUCGGAAUACAUCCGUCAAAAGUGCCUUGUUAAUCACAGUCAUUAUACAAACGAGCAGGGAUUUUCUCAGUUUUGCAACAUUGCAGUUCACAUUUUUAAACAUGUUCUCGUACGGAGAGAAACAAUAAACUGUCAGUGAUGAAAGUCAUUUACUCGUAAAACAAAGUGAUUUAGUAAAUAAUGAGAAAAGGUUCUGUUAAAUGACAGUAACUUUUCUCCUGUUGGAGCUGUGGGGUAUUUACUGUAAGUGGCAGUAGUUCCACCCCCGGAAGUCGUAAUUUAUCCUCCUCAGCUCAGACGACCCAGAGUUCAAAACAACAUUGUUUAAACUGUAGCGGAGCGGUGGUUUUUACAGUUUUAUGGCAAAGCAGUGAUAAUUAGAGACCGGAGAAGAAGACCUUCAGAGCAAUGUUCCAAAUAUGUCCUCAACCGUUUGACGUAAACCUCAGCUGUGGAUCAGUGGUUGAAGUCUUUGUCUCUCAACCAGGGUGCGGCCGACAGGUGGGACAGACGCUUUCAUCUCUGCUCACCUCCUGGACCGUGGAUGGGAACCAAACUGCAGUUUUACAGGCUGGGAAACCCACACAGGACAGACCCUGACAUAAAAGCCAGAUCUUGGUGCAGGUCACGGACCAGUCACGGACGCACCAUGUCUUCUCCACAUUGGGGACACUUCCUGACCGGCAGUGGGAUCUCCAUCACCUCAUACUGUUGUUCAGUGACUUCCUGUGCUUCACCCAGACUCGAUGAAGACGGUUUUGUACUUUCGGAUGUGGUGCAGGAGCACGCUCUGUUUGUCCUUCCUGCCUUCUGACACCAGCUUCAGAUCGCCCUCCAGUUCAGCACGAAGUGUUUUUGGGUAACGUACCCUCCACCAGCCCCAUGCCCAGCUCCCCUGGGAGAAACCUCUGGUCCCGUGUCAAACCCACAUACAUGCGACUCUUUAUGGUCUCAAUGUGCUCGGCAUGAGUCGCAUCUGUGCCUGAAAUACACACGAAAGAUUCAUCCUGUAAUGUCAGUGCUAUGAGGUCAGCUUCAGUGAGCAGCUCUGGAGGACUGGUUUGACCGUCUAACAUUUCUAUGGACGUCGGCUGGAACUGAAAUCCUUGUUCAUACACAGGAAUGACCUACAGCAUGGAGGAGAUGUUGAGAUGUUCUG